CAUGUCUUCAUUGUGAUAAUCCCUUUUACAGUGACCACACCACCUUCUCUUUCUGUAACUUGACUGACCUUGAUUUGUUCUGCCAUUGUUCUCCAUGUUUGGAUUCUUGAAACGGGCAUAGAAGGCACCUUCAGAAUCUUCUUCAUCUUCUGGAAAGAACUUCUUUUCGUGUGCCUCCAAUGAACCAAUUAGUUCAGCAUAAGUGACAGUCUUCAGGUCUUUGGUUUCUUCCAUCAAUGAGGACAAGGAGGCAUAGCUUUUGGGCAUAGAAGCAAGCAUCUUAACAACCAAAUCAAAAUUUUCAAACUCUCUCCUUAGUGACUGAAGUCUAACAGUUUUGACUUUUUCGUUACCUUGGUAAGAGUGCUCCAGAAGUAUCCAUGCUUGAUGUGCCGAGGUUGCAGAGAGGAUCUUGUCAAAGACCACAUCAGCGACGGCAAGUUGAAUGAGUUGGAGCGCAGCAGUAUCUUUGGUUUUUAGAGCUUUCAGCCCAGAAUACAUAAUUCUGGCCAUCAAACACAGCAACAAGUUGUGAUGAUUGCAGCAGGUU